GUCGGCCUCGCUACUUUCCUAAGUGGAAAAAGGGUUCUCUCAGGCCAUUUCCUUGAGCCGUUCCGCUGCCAUUCGACCACCACCGCCACGGCGGCGCCGAUGCCGACUACAACCACUCGCAGAGACUACCGCCUCCAGCCCCGCUGCUUCUCAUCUCCACGCAGCCGUCCGAUGGCCAAGCGGCUCGCCGGUGCCGACAAAGAGGUGCUCGUCGAGGUGGUGAGGUUCACGCAUAAGAGCGGACUGAGGGGCUGUGACGGCGGCUGGAAGGAUUUCCUGGCCCAGAACGACAGGAAGUUUGGCGCGUCGGUGAGCGACCCGAGGAAGCGCUCCAGGGACGUGCUGUUCGCCUUCCUGCAGACCUUCCCCAAGGAUUUCCAGAAGGUUGGUCACUCUUUUGCUUCUUCAGACUUCAGUUCAGCAUGCCCGGUUUCACUGCCAGCUAUAGUGGUCGAAACACUUGAUGCCACUAGUCCGACGAGAGCCACCGGAAGACAACGCAGGCAUUCCUCAGUCCCCAAAGUGAGCUGCUGGGCAGCUGCUCAUCACCAACACAAUUCUAACCCCCAGCAGUUUCAGGCGAUUGGCAUACGAAUCGCAAAGACGCUGCAUGCCUUCUAUCAGUUCUGCCGACCACACACAAUAUUUGGAACCAUAAUAGGCAUUACUUCGGUGUCUAUCCUGCCAGUGAAAGAGCCUGGACGAUUUUACGUUGAUAGCUAUAUGGGGAUUUCUCGAGGCUUUGGCCGCCGCAUUAUGUAUGAACGUUUAUGUAGUAGGGCUGAACAAGAUAACCUUUUGAAGGUCAAUAAGCCAACCCUCCCAUUAGCGUUCGGAGAGUUUUCAAUGCCAACUGCAGUAUUGUUAGUAGUGGCAUUCUUGGUCAUGAGCAUUAGCAUCGGAAUAAGAUCAAAGUCUGCUCCAUUGAUGUGUGCUUUGCUUGUUUGCUUCCUUCUUGGAAGCGCAUACUCCAUUGACGUUCCAUUACUCCGGUGGAAGCGACAUGCUUUUCUAGCUGCAUUCUGCAUAAUCUUUGUGAGGGCUGUAGUGGUCCAGUUAGCUUUCUUUGCACACAUGCAGCAACAUGUUCUGAAGAGGCCCUUGGCACCUACAAGGUCGGUGGUCUUUGCAACAUGUUUCAUGUGUUGCUUCGCUGCAGUAAUAGCGCUAUUCAAGGAUAUUCCUGAUGUCGAUGGAGAUAGAGAUUUCGGCAUUCAGUCCAUGACUGUACGAUUAGGCCCAACAGAGAGUGCAUAGGCUCUGCAUUAAUAUUCUCAUGACAGCAUACGCAGCCGCAAUUUUGGUAGGCGCGUCAUCUACGAACCUGUAUCAGAAGAUUGUCAUUGUGUCUGGUCAUGGCUUGCUUGCCUCCACACUCUGGCAAAGAGCACAACAAUUUGACAUUGAGAAUAAGGAUUGUAUCACACAAUUUUAUAUGUUCAUUUGGAAGUUAUUCUACGCCGAGUAUUUUCUUAUACCAUUUGUGUAGUAAAGAAUCAUGCGAAGAACAACACCCCUGCUAUAGACAUGUGAAGGUUUAUUGCUAAUGUUACUCUACCCCCUGCUAUAGACAUGUGAAGGUUUAUUGCUAAUGUUACUCUACCGAAUGGUCUGAAUGUCUAUGCGUCAUUUGAAUGUAAUAUGACUAUUUGUUGUAUCAGGGUAACAACUGGAGCAAAUGUACCAUGUAUAUUAAGCAUUAAUUUAACUGCAUCAUUUGUACCAUGUAUAUUAUGACUAUGUAUGAGAUAUUGUCUCUUAUUAGUACUGGAUGUGAUGUGUCUUAUUAUGACUA